rnacentral:lncRNA from 1 species
GAAGCUGAAUUUCUAAUCCUCAGAGAGUAAAGAUUCUAAUUAGAAUUUUGUACUUGAUCUCUAUUUAUUUUAGGGCCUUUUAAAACAAAUAUACCUUCCACUAUUUUCUCGAAUAUCUCACACUCCUUUGGUAGAAAAACGGAAAUCUUGCGACUCUAGGUUUCAAGUGGGGUGCUACGGUCCCACUAAUUUACAUACCACCUCACCUAACAGUUAUUGGUGACAUAUAAACGAUGAGUGUACAACUCUUAUACAAUGCUUCUCAAGUUGUAGCGCUAUCCGGUCUCUAAGUAAUGAAGACCUCACCUAACAGUUAUUGGCCCCAUUCCUUAGUUAAGUCGGAUCCACCGUAUAACCGCGGAAGCAAAGCCGUCAUUGAGUCCCUCACCUAACAGUUAUUGGGCCCAACCCCAUCUUUACCCCUACAACAUCUCAUGCCUAAUAGAGAGGUCCAGUCCCCCGAUGCAACUUGCCCACUGUAUCCAGC